rnacentral:rRNA from 1 species
UGGUGGAGUGAUUUGUCUGGUUAAUUCCGAUAACGAACGAGACCUUAUCUUGCUAAAUAGCUAGACUAAGCCUUGCUUGGUUAUAGCUUCUUAGAGGGACUGUUGGCGUUUAGCCAAUGGAAGUUUGAGGCAAUAACA